rnacentral:rRNA from 1 species
AGCGAACGCUGGCGGCAGGCCUAACACAUGCAAGUCGAACGAAGUCUUCGGACUUAGUGGCGGACGGGUGAGUAACACGUGGGAACGUGCCUUUAGGUUCGGAAUAACUCAGGGAAACUUGUGCUAAUACCGAAUGUGCCCUUCGGGGGAAAGAUUUAUCGCCUUUAGAGCGGCCCGCGUCUGAUUCGCUAGUUGGUGAGGUAAAGGCUCACCAAGGCGACGAUCAGUAGCUGGUCUGAGAGGAUGAGCAGCCACAUUGGGACUGAGACACGGCCCAAACUCCUACGGGAGGCAGCAGUGGGGAAUCUUGCGAAAUGGGCGAAAGCCUGACGCAGCCAUGCCGCGUGAAUGAUGAAGGUCUUAGGAUUGUAAAAUUCUUUCACCGGGGACGAUAAUGACGGUACCCGGAGAAGAAGCCCCGGCUAACUUCGUGCCAGCCGCCGCAGUAAUAC